CUCACAAGGCGCGUGAUCCUUAUAUAAAAUUCUGGCUAUAUGUGCAUUGCCUUAUUGGUUCUAAUUUAGUUGUGCUGGUAUAUUUGGGUUCCUAUAGGCCAAGUUGUUUCACCGGACAAGAAUCCCACGAACCUUAAUGUGGUGGAAAAGUUUCAGGGAUGAUACGAUCGACCCAACUGUUAGCUUUGGAAUGCAUUUUGGGGUUGACUCAUGAAGACGACGGCUAGCUUGCACCGACAUUUGUAGCUUCUGUAUAAAUGAUUCAGAUUGUCUACAAGCAAGGAAAAUGAUUAUAGGGAAUAAAAAGGCACUGACGCAGGAGACCUAGCGAUUUGACACCACAGACUCAAACCUAUGACAGCGGCGGCAUUGAGGAAGGUGUGGAGCUCCUGGCCUCCUGAGUACGCCGCCGGGCUCAUCUCCGUAGCCCGACAUGGUUGCAGUAUAGAAGAAACCCUUACUCCCACAUGUGUCCCUUUUUUCCUCCGCGUUGCUUUUAUGGAUCAAAACCCUAGCAAACUCCUCUCCAAGCACGCGAUUGAUUCCGUUCGUAUACAUCUGACGGUUUAAUGAUGAUGCAACAAAUUUCAUUUUAUAGUUUUGCUGGAGGUGAUUGUCAUUGAAAAGCAUAAUUUUUUUAAUGGAUGUUACUUGCCA